rnacentral:rRNA from 1 species
CAGUCGCCGCGGUAAUACGUAGGUGGCAAGCGUUGUCCGGAAUUAUUGGGCGUAAAGGGCGCGUAGGCGGUUUGAAAAGUCUUGUGUGAAAUCUCUGGGCUCAACCCAGAGUCUGCACGGGAAACUGUCGGGCUUGAGUAUGGGAGAGGUGAGUGGAAUUUCCGGUGUAGCGGUGAAAUGCGUAGAUAUCGGAAGGAACACCUGUGGCGAAAGCGGCUCACUGGACCAUAACUGACGCUGAGGCGCGAAAGCUAGGGGAGCAAACAGGAUUAGAUACCCCCGUAGUCCCUGUCUCUUAUAC